CCACACGUAAGGAAAUGAACUCAUUUUUGAAAGAAAUAUUUGAAACGAUAAAAAAAAAAGAAUAAUUAUAAUAUAUAUAUAAAAGAAAAAAAAUUGCUUUAAAGAAAAACCACGGAACCCACCCCCACCACCAUUCCUAUUUCCUAAUUCUAGAAUUUAGAAACCUAUUAGAAAUUAAACUAACUUGGUUUUUUUAAAACCCACGUAGCUCCACACCCCAAUUACCUUUUCCCAAUUCAGAAAAAAACAAAAUUGUAUCCCUUCUCUUCCACUCUCGUUCAACUUCUUCAUUCCCGGUGGUACAGAAAAGCCUCCCUUCAUUCCCUUCAAUUUUCAUUCUUCAUCAGAGCCACACAAAAUCCUACCAUUAAAUACAUGCUGUUGAAGGACAUUUGGGUUUUCACGUGGGAGAGUUUUGGGACAAUUAUUGAGAGUUAGGGUUUGUGAUUUGAUGAAGGAGAAGAGUAUCCAGCACUUCAAAAUUGUCGAUUUGAUUUCUUGGAGAUCCGUCGGUUAGUGGUUUGUUUGGCUGUCGCGCAGUUGUGGAGAGCAAUCGUGAUUGGUUCUUCGUAACUAUUUUCAGGCAACUGAGUAGCAGACCAUUGUUAGAUUCAGAUCAUUCGACUUAUUUCCUUUGACAGGUUGUCAUAUUGAUGUCUUUUAUUUAGUCAUGGUUAUCUGCAGCUAUAGGGAGUCCUAGGUGGAUUUAGAUUUGAGAUUUUGAUUUAUUAUUUUAUUUUAAGAGUUGACACUGGAGUACUCGAGUUAAUUUGAUAUUUUACUUGAAAUACUGGUUA